AUCUUCUAAUAGCUUAGAAAGGGAAGAUAAAGCUCUGAUACAUUAGGUAACCAUUAAACUUGAAAACAAUCAAAAGUCUUCAAUCCUGGUAAAAAAAGCCACCAGUUGUGCUUUGAUUAAAUAUUGGAAUGACAUCCAGGAGUGUCCUUGGAGAUUUGCCAACCCUUCUCUGGUUUCUUUUGGUAAACAAUCCAGUUGUAUGCCAGCAAGUGAUUUUGACCUGUACCUGUCAAGGACAAAGGUGCAGCACCAGGAAACUCCAUAAAAUACCUUCCUGACCAACACUUUGCAUAUUGUACUCUUGUCAGCAAUCAGUAUAGAAACCAGGAUCAGAGAAAAGAAACUCUUCUAAAACACAGCUAUACUUCUGGACUUCUGCAUGUGCUGUUGAUGAAGAAUUACAUUUUACAGCCUGGACAGUAUAAUAGCUUUUUACUGAUAGAAGUGUUCACCACCAUUCAUUGCUGUGUAAACAAAGGUGACACAAAGGUGAGACGCAGGCAUUCCUGUUGCAACUUGGUAAAGAUGACCUCCAAAGGGACAGUAUUCCUGAGCCUGCAGAUACAGAAAAGUAAUUCUUUAACUACUGCAGAGAGUAACUGGAAGAGAGGAGAUAGAAUGAGACAUCUCAGCUUCUGUGAUCUCAAGUAGUGAGACUGACAUUCUGCCAGUCCUGUUAUGGUAGAGGCUGUUCUACAGUGUACCCCGUCGUGAGAAAAAUAAUGUUUAUCUUGCAUCCAACACUGCUACCUCAGCUAAGGAAGUAAAGUGAGAUUACAGGAUCUGCUUUAUGGGUAUAACUGAAAAUAAAUUCCCUUGAAGCUGAAGAUGGCAAAGAUUUAAGGAGACGGAUUGCCUGACAGCUGAGAAAAGCA
ensembl:lncRNA